rnacentral:rRNA from 1 species
AUUGAACGCUGGCGGCAGGCCUAACACAUGCAAGUCGAUCGACCGGCGCACGGGUGAGUAACACGUAUCCAACCUGCCCUUUACUCUGGGAUAGCCUUUCGAACGAAAGAUUAAUACCCGAUCUAAAGGAUGGGGAUGCGUUCCAUUAGGUUGUUGGUGAGGUAACGGCCCACCAAGCCUUCGAUGGAUAGGGGUUCUGAGAGGAAGGUCCCCCACAUUGGAACUGAGACACGGACCAAACGCCUACGGGAGGCAGCAGUGGGGAAUAUUGGGCAAUGGGCGUUAGCAGGAACCAGCCAAGUAGCGGGAAGGAUGAAGGCUUAUGGGUAGUAAACUGCUUUUAUAGAAGAAUAUGUACUAUAUGAAGAAGGAUCGGCUAACUCCGUGCCAGCAGCCGCGGUAAUAC